rnacentral:misc_RNA from 1 species
AAGUCGUAACAAGGUCUCCGUUGGUGAACCAGCGGAGGGAUCAUUAUCGAGUUGCAAAACUCCAACCCUUUGUGAACAUACCUCAGUCGUUGCUUCGGCGGUGGACGGCCUGUUUUUCGGAACGGCCGGAAGCCGCCGGAGGUUCCAAACUCGUAUUUUUUAGUGUAUCUCUGAGCCUGAAAAUAAAUAAUCAAAACUUUCAACAACGGAUCUCUUGGUUCUG